CAACACCACGUUCAACGCCAAGAUCAACUCCACGUCGUGCACCCAAUAAGCACAGAAGGUGACUUUGAACGCAUAUUUUUGGGCCUGGCAAUGCAUAGUGAAUAUUAGGCCCUGCUUAAAUCUGCCGUGCCACAGAGCUGACUGCUGUGGAAUUUACCAAUAAAAACUCUGAAACCGAU